AUCAUUAACGAAUGGCUUUUUUGGCCUUCGACUUCAAACCUGUGGAAGCGAGAUGUGCUUUGGCGCCAAGUCGCCUCAUUUAUGCCAAAAAGCAUUUGUCUGAAUCAAAAAAACGAGAAUCAAAACUUUCAACAAAGGAUCUCUUGGCUCUUGCAUCGAUAAAGAACGCAGCGAAGCGCGAAAUGUAGUGUGAAUCGCAGAACAUUGUGAAUCAUCGAAUCUUUGAACGCACAUUGCGCCUCCCUUUGCCGGGAGGCAUGCCUGUCUGAGCGUCAUUUAACUCAUACCUUUUUGGUGUGUUGGGCCUCGCCCUAGCGGCGUAGCCUCAAAGUCAUUGGUCUAAGAGCGGACAAGAUCCAUUGGGACCGACCGUUUGGGACCGUAAACAUCUGACUUGACCUCAGAUCAGGUAGGGCUACCGCCUGAACUUAAGCAUAUCAAUAAGCGGAGGAA
rnacentral:rRNA from 1 species